AGCACGUUAGCAGCCUAGCACGCCAAAACUGGGGUGGGGGGCGUUAAAGCAGAGUUGUCCCCCUCAUAAAACAAAACAAAAACACAUUAAAGGGACGCCCGUAGAUGUCUCUGCACGAUGACUCCUGAGAGCGUCUUCAUGGCGCACGCCGCUCUCUCGCUCCGACGGCACUGACGUCAGCCGCGACACAACAAUGGGUUCAAAGGCCACAUACGGCGAUGGGGAGAAGAGGAUCCACGCAAAGCCACGGCUGCUGUCAUUGCCAUUGUGUCAGUCGCUCGGCUGGACCGCCAUCCCUUUAUUUAUUCGUUUAAAACCAAGCAAACGUUGUUGUUUGAUCAUUCAAAGCCACCAUUCAGUUGUAUUGUAUCCUUGAGCAGUUAUUCAAUAUCAUUCAAAUCCAGUUUUAUGUAUGCGCUAUUUUGAGAAAUUCAUAUACUAUUACAUCUGAUGUCUUACCAAUGAACACCCCCACACACACACACUCACAUGUGCUUGUACACUUUUUGAUUCAGAUUCAAACCCAUGAAAUAAAAUACACCAAUGUCCAAAA